AAACCACCUAUCUACCAAACACACGAAUGGAUGUGAUCGAUCAACUUUCUACCACUGCUACAAACAAGUACAGAGUAGUAGCUUCUGAGAAUUCAGAAUUGGUGAUAUACUAUGGUACAAUAGUGGAUAAUAUCACAACAGUUUUUAUUUAAUGCUGUAAAUUGUAUUGUAAACACGAAAUUGAAGAAGUUCAGUUAUUGAGCUGUGCAAAAUAAAAAUAAACAUGACAUAAAAACUGGCAUUUCAGCCUUCGACAAAGGAAUAGGACUGGUGGUCGUUGAUCUACUUUGGUGAUUCCUCAAUUGGUGCCAUAUGUUUUGGCAUUUCGGCCUUAUUGACAAGUAUAGUACAGAGCAUCAAUCUGCAUACUGAAGACGUUGGAAAUGCAGAGCAGGACACCUCACUGUCACUGUUGGAAUUGACAGACCAUUAUUGGCAAUGCAGUUGUUAGCUUGUCGCUGCGGGGCGGCGCCAUUGCUGGAGGGGUGCCGCUUGGGCUUGGUGUCGCGCCAUUGAGGAAAUUGUGGUGACGACGAUGCAUGCAUUGCACCGAAGGGCUGCCUCUACC